rnacentral:lncRNA from 1 species
GGGUAUUAAUGGUGUAAUUUAAUGUGGUGUAAUGUAAUGUAAUGUGGUGUAAUGUAACGUAAUGUGGUGUAAUGUAAUGUAAUAUGGUGUAAUAUAAUGUAAUGUACAGUAAUGUGGUGUAAUGUAAUGUAAUGUAAUGUGGUGUAAUGUGGUGUAAUGUAAUGUAAUGUAAUGUGGUGUAAUGUGGUGUAAUGUGGUGUAAUGUAAUGUGGUGUAAUGUAAUGUUAUGUAAUGUAAUGCAAUGUGGUGUAAUGUAAUGUGGUGUAAUGUAAUGUAAUUUGGUGCAAUGUAAUGUAAUGUGGUGUAAUGUAAUGUGGUGUAAUGUGGUGUAAUGUAAUGUAAUGUAAUGUGGUGUAAUGUGGUGUAAUGUAAUGUAAUGUAAUGUGGUGUAAUGUGGUGUAAUGUGAUGUAAUGUGGUGUGGUGUGAUGUAAUGUAAUGUUGGGUAAUGUAAUGUAAUGUUGGAUAAUGUAAUGUAAUGUAAUGUUGGGUAAUGUAAUGUAAUGUUGGAUAAUGUAAUAUUGGAUAAUGUAAUGUUGGAUAAUGUAAUGUAAUAUAAUGUUGGAUAAUGUAAUGUAAUGUAAUCUAUAUUAUUUAUUUAUUUAUUUAUUUAUUUAUAAAAAAUUAGUUUUUUGAUUUAAUUGAUUUUUUUUUAAAAAAUCAAAAAUCGAACCGAAAAAUUAAAACUUUAAAAUUACAAAUCAAAUUCAAUCCGAAAAAUCGAAACCAAAAUUAAAUUUCAAUUUAUUUUUUAAUUUUUUCAAUUUAAACUAAAAUAUGUCCACCCCUAACUAUGAUACAGUUUAGCAUAUGAAUGAAUAAUAAAUAAAUAAUCAAGAAAAGUUUCACGCCUUUCUUCAAUACCUUGUAAACGACAAACGCAGCUGAAAACUUAAUAAAUGGAGGCAACCAAUUUUUUUUUUUUUUUUUUUUUAUUAACAGUUCAAAAUUCUUAAAAGAAAAAGAAAAAGGGAAAAUCACUUUCAUGAAACUCAAAGUCCACAUGUACUAGUCAAACAUUUACUGGCAAAAGUAAGUAUGAAUUUGUUUUCUUGGAAUACCGUAGUGUGCAGACGAUGCAACCAAAAGCAGCCGAAGAAAUAAAAUAAAUAAAAAAUGUUUUAAAUUUAAGUUUAAAACAGUGUGCGUCACAAUUAUUAUUUCCUACUAUUUUUCUUGUAAACGAGAGAUAGGAUUCAAGAUCUAUGUGAAAAACUUUGAUACCAAUUGAAGAAGUAACCAGAAAAACAUACCACAGGUUCAUAUAAAUCAAAAAACACCUGUAAAAGUAAUAGAACAUACGAGGAAAGGUGCGUACCUUUGUCCACCAUUAUAACACGUAAUAGAAAAAGAACUAGAUUGAGUCUUCUUCUCUUUUGCUUAUGACGACUGACAGCUUAUGAAAAUACGUCUUAUGUUAAAGUCAGGAUAGGGGACUUAGCUUUAUAUUUAUAGUAUUAAAAGUCUUAACCUAGUGCACCUCCCAUUAUGGAUUCAUAUUUAUAGUAUUAAAAGUUUUAACCUAAUGUACCUUCCAUUAUGGGCUCACAGGUCUACUAGAAGCCUAUAUUAUUAUCAGCCCACAUUAAUAACAUAAAAUGGGUACAGGCUCAUAUGAAAUCUACAUGAAUACACGACCUAUAUCUUAUCCACCAGCUAAUAAUUAGCUCGUUUUACUUUAAUAUAAUAAAAAAUUAAUAUUAAAUCCACAUAAAAAUAAAUAAUUAUAACAAAACAAUCCAUCACAAUCACACAAUAUAAAGCUAAGUGCACAGUGGCCUAGCUGAUACAUCUGUUGUGAUGAUUAAUAGUGAGGUUGAAAGGUAACGUAUACUGUAAUAAAUGCUUGAACCAAAACAUAAAAAUGUGUAACUUUUAAUAUAGAGAAAUUUAGAAAGACUAAAAUCAAUUAGAACAAUAAUCAAAUUUAGAUGGUAAUUCUAAAUUUAACUUCGUAAGAUUUCAUUAGAAGAUAGAAAAAUUAUCGCUGACAGAUAAGAAUCAAAACAACUGAGAUAAAAUAUUCAAUGAUGAAUUUGUAUUUAAAAAGAUCAAAUAAAUUAGAAUAAUAACUGAGCUCCAAAUUGUAGUUGGAGAUUUAACUUCAUAAAAUUUCAUUUAAAGAUAGAGAAAUUACUGGUGAUGAAGAAGAGUCGGAUGAAGCAAGUACAAAAAUGCGAGAUGAAGAAUCCAUUGAAAUGAGAUGAAGAGUCCAAUAAAGCAAGAUGAAGAAUCCUGUUAAGCGAGAUUGAAGAAUUCGGUAGAGGACUUUUAACACAUCAGUGGUGCUAUAGAGAGAAAGAGUUUGACAGAAUUUCCAGACAAAAUGAAAAAGAUGGGAUUUGUCAAAUCUUUUACCAUACCGAAAGCCCUCAGAUAUUGUACCAGUACAAAAAUGAACAACCUAAGUCAAGAGAUAGAUCCACUCAGUCAAAUUGAAGAAAUUUAUUUUUUUUGGUCUCAAAUAAGGAUUCAAGUUAAACACAUACUACGAGACGCUAAUCAAUUAGAUGAUUGCUUGACAAACACAACAUUCAAUUAAGAGGGUCACUACAAUUUCAUACAAUUGAGUAGCAACCGACCAUGGGAAGGAAAAUCUUAAACAUAGAUACCAACACUAAGAAUAAGGACAAGGAAGAUCACAAGUUAAAACAUCGUUUAACAUGCACAUCACAAACACACAUACCUUAUGGUUUCACAAUUAUUAUAUUUUGCAGAUUCAGGUUUGCCCAUACAAGGAGUAAAAUAACUAUGUGAAAGCUAUUUAUCCUAUGAUACGUCAACUAAUAAAAAGGUACACCCGCAAAGGUCAAGGGUUAUGAAAUUGAAUAUGAAUGUGUAGAUCUAUACCCUGCACAUUUUAACUUCUUCGAGCAAACAGAGCUUUCUUUCCACGAAAAAGGACCACGGGUAUUGAUGACUCAGAGCAAAAUGAGACAAAGAUCAUGGUUUCUAAAGCACAAUGACGACAUUCUCAAAGACCUGAAAGAAGAAAUAAUGAGGACACAGUUAGAUAAUCCUUAUGUUAGACUUUUUUUUAUAUUUUUGGAUGGUCU